rnacentral:rRNA from 1 species
CUUUCUCCGCCGGCGACCGGCGCACGGGUGAGUAACACGUAUGCAACCUGCCCCUGUCAGGGGGACAACCCGCCGAAAGGCGGGCUAAACCCGCGUACAUGCCACCGGGGCAUCCCGGAGGCAGGAAAGGCUUCGGCCGGGACAGGGAUGGGCAUGCGGCGCAUUAGGCAGUAGGCGGGGUAACGGCCCACCUAACCGACGAUGCGUAGGGGUUCUGAGAGGAAGGUCCCCCACACUGGUACUGAGACACGGACCAGACUCCUACGGGAGGCAGCAG